UGACUGCGUACCUUUUGUAUAAUGGGUCAGCGACUUAUAUUCUGUAGCAAGGUUAACCGAAUAGGGGAGCCGAAGGGAAACCGAGUCUUAACUGGGCGUUAAGUUGCAGGGUAUAGACCCGAAACCCGGUGAUCUAGCCAUGGGCAGGUUGAAGGUUGGGUAACACUAACUGGAGGACCGAACCGACUAAUGUUGAAAAAUUAGCGGAUGACUUGUGGCUGGGGGUGAAAGGCCAAUCAAACCGGGAGAUAGCUGGUUCUCCCCGAAAGCUAUUUAGGUAGCGCCUCGUGAAUUCAUCUCCGGGGGUAGAGCACUGUUUCGGCAAGGGGGUCAUCCCGACUUACCAACCCGAUGCAAACUGCGAAUACCGGAGAAUGUUAUCACGGGAGACACACGGCGGGUGCUAACGUCCGUCGUGAAGAGGGAAACAACCCAGACCGCCAGCUAAGGUCCCAAAGUCAUGGUUAAGUGGGAAACGAUGUGGGAAGGCCCAGACAGCCAGGAUGUUGGCUUAGAAGCAGCCAUCAUUUAAAGAAAGCGUAAUAGCUCACUGGUCGAGUCGGCCUGCGCGGAAGAUGUAACGGGGCUAAACCAUGCACCGAAGCUGCGGCAGCGACGCUGAUGCGUUGUUGGGUAGGGGAGCGUUCUGUAAGCCUGCGAAGGUGUGCUGUGAGGCAUGCUGGAGGUAUCAGAAGUGCGAAUGCUGACAUAAGUAACGAUAAAGCGGGUGAAAAGCCCGCUCGCCGGAAGACCAAGGGUUCCUGUCCAACGUUAAUCGGGGCAGGGUGAGUCGACCCCUAAGGCGAGGCCGAAAGGCGUAGUCGAUGGGAAACAGGUUAAUAUUCCUGUACUUGGUGUUACUGCGAAGGGGGGACGGAGAAGGCUAUGUUGGCCGGGCGACGGUUGUCCCGGUUUAAGCGUGUAGGCUGGUUUUCCAGGCAAAUCCGGAAAAUCAAGGCUGAGGCGUGAUGACGAGGCACUGCGGUGCUGAAGCAACAAAUGCCCUGCUUCCAGGAAAAGCCUCUAAGCAUCAGGUAACAUCAAAUCGUACCCCAAACCGACACAGGUGGUCAGGUAGAGAAUACCAAGGCGCUUGAGAGAACUCGGGUGAAGGAACUAGGCAAAAUGGUGCCGUAACUUCGGGAGAAGGCACGCUGAUAUGUAGGUGAAGUCCCUCGCGGAUGGAGCUGAAAUCAGUCGAAGAUACCAGCUGGCUGCAACUGUUUAUUAAAAACACAGCACUGUGCAAACACGAAAGUGGACGUAUACGGUGUGACGCCUGCCCGGUGCCGGAAGGUUAAUUGAUGGGGUUAGCGCAAGCGAAGCUCUUGAUCGAAGCCCCGGUAAACGGCGGCCGUAACUAUAACGGUCCUAAGGUAGCGAAAUUCCUUGUCGGGUAAGUUCCGACCUGCACGAAUGGCGUAAUGAUGGCCAGGCUGUCUCCACCCGAGACUCAGUGAAAUUGAACUCGCUGUGAAGAUGCAGUGUACCCGCGGCAAGACGGAAAGACCCCGUGAACCUUUACUAUAGCUUGACACUGAACAUUGAGCCUUGAUGUGUAGGAUAGGUGGGAGGCUUUGAAGUGUGGACGCCAGUCUGCAUGGAGCCGACCUUGAAAUACCACCCUUUAAUGUUUGAUGUUCUAACGUUGACCCGUAAUCCGGGUUGCGGACAGUGUCUGGUGGGUAGUUUGACUGGGGCGGUCUCCUCCUAAAGAGUAACGGAGGAGCACGAAGGUUGGCUAAUCCUGGUCGGACAUCAGGAGGUUAGUGCAAUGGCAUAAGCCAGCUUGACUGCGAGCGUGACGGCGCGAGCAGGUGCGAAAGCAGGUCAUAGUGAUCCGGUGGUUCUGAAUGGAAGGGCCAUCGCUCAACGGAUAAAAGGUACUCCGGGGAUAACAGGCUGAUACCGCCCAAGAGUUCAUAUCGACGGCGGUGUUUGGCACCUCGAUGUCGGCUCAUCACAUCCUGGGGCUGAAGUAGGUCCCAAGGGUAUGGCUGUUCGCCAUUUAAAGUGGUACGCGAGCUGGGUUUAGAACGUCGUGAGACAGUUCGGUCCCUAUCUGCCGUGGGCGCUGGAGAACUGAGGGGGGCUGCUCCUAGUACGAGAGGACCGGAGUGGACGCAUCACUGGUGUUCGGGUUGUCAUGCCAAUGGCACUGCCCGGUAGCUAAAUGCGGAAGAGAUAAGUGCUGAAAGCAUCUAAGCACGAAACUUGCC
rnacentral:rRNA from 1 species